GGAGAGGUGUCCGAGUGGCUUAAGGAGCACGCUUGGAAAGCGUGUGUACCGCAAGGUACCCAGGGUUCAAAUCCCUGCCUCUCCGCCA
rnacentral:tRNA from 1 species